rnacentral:rRNA from 1 species
UCGGGAAUUUUGGACAAUGGGCGAAAGCCUGAUCCAGCCAUGCCGCGUGUGUGAAGAAGGUCUUCGGAUUGUAAAGCACUUUAAGUUGGGAGGAAGGGCACUUACCUAAUACGUAUCUGUUUUGACGUUACCGACAGAAUAAGCACCGGCUAACUCUGUGCCAGCAGCCGCGGUAAUACAGAGGGUGCAAGCGUUAAUCGGAAUUACUGGGCGUAAAGCGCGCGUAGGUGGUUUGUUAAGUUGGAUGUGAAAUCCCCGGGCUCAACCUGGGAACUGCAUUCAAAACUGACAAGCUAGAGUAUGGUAGAGGGUGGUGGAAUUUCCUGUGUAGCGGUGAAAUGCGUAGAUAUAGGAAGGAACACCAGUGGCGAAGGCGACCACCUGGACUGAUACUGACGCUGAGGUGCGAAAGCGUGGGGAGCAAACAGGAUUAGAUACCCCCGUAGUCCCUGAGCGGGCUGGCAAGGCGCAU